CCUACACUAAAAGAAAUGUUAAAAAAAAAAAAAACAGUAGUAUGAGAAAUACGUGGCUAAAUAUAAAAAGUAUAAAAGACAAAUUUCUCAUUCUCAAAUCUAUUUAAUGAAAGAUUGAUGAGGACUCUUUUUUCUGGCCAAGAUGGACUAAAAGGGGCCAGAUUUACUCUCCAUUCUGAAACAAAUGAAAAAACACAACAUGAAACAACAGUUUUCAAGAUACUAGACAUCAGGUAAUAAAGAACAGUGACCUUUAGAGAUGGAAAACAAACAAGGUGAGAUACUGCCUUGAGAGAGUUUCCAGGCUGUGGCACAGGGAUAUAGAACUAAAAGCAGAGCCCAGUGGGCUCAAGGAGUUGAAGAGAUGGAGCUGAGAGUCCAGGGAGACCAAGGCAAUUCAUAGGACAGAGUACCAGAGAGAAGACAAUGUACAAGGAGAGAAUCCAGAGAGCUGCAGGGAGUAGCACUCUAUUCAGCAGAGUACUGAUCCUCUGACUGUGAGAAAACUAUUUGAGGGAAGAAAAAGAGCCAUCAAAGAGAUUAGAGAAAAGUUCCCAGCACUCACAAAGGGCCAGGAAUAAUGCUUGUUCUCACCAUCCAUUCUGGAAAAACUCUUCAUUCACAGGGCAUUGAGCAGAGUACUCAGGAAGGUCUUGCUUCAGUAGCACAGAAUAAUCAGCCCUAGCCUCAGCACUGCUCUGGAUCCUCCUAAUAUAUCAUAAAAGCAAGAUCAACUCCGCCCUCACAAACUUCUCUGGGCGUGGGCCACUGGGUGGUUCACAGGGGAGCAGGCUGAGCUGCAGGAAGGGCACCCUGGGGAAGAAGAGGGCGUGAGGCAUUGAGGCAGGGGAAAGCGACCAGCUGCCCUUCAUUGCCAGCUAGGGACGAGCAUGCGGCCACUGCCCCACCCGGCUGCCCACGAUCACUCGUCUGCAGAAAUGUCAGCCACCGGCGCCCAGGGCCUGCGUGCCACCUACCACCGAGUACUUGAUAAAGUGGAGCUCCUGCUGCCUGAGAAAUUGAGGGCGUUGUACAACCAACCAGCAGGUGCCAGAACAGUAUUUUUCUGGGUUCCAAUUAUGAAAUGGGGGUUGGUGUGUGCUGGAUUGGCUGACAUGGUCAGACCUGCAGAAAAACUCAGCACAGCCCAAUCUGCUGUUUUGAUGGCUACAAGAUUUGGUCAAGAUAUUCACUUGUAAUUAUCCCCCAAAACUGGAGUCUGUUUGCUGUUAAUUUAUUUGUUGGGACAGCAGGAGCCUCUCAGCUCUUUCGUAUUUGGAGAUAUAACCAAGGAUUAAAAGCUAAAGCAAACAAAUAAGAGUUCUGAUCACCCUAACAACCUAGAUGUGGACAUAACCACUGGGACCUAGUUUGAUUUAUUAUUCAGUUGUCAGUGAGGUGAUGCUAACUGUGCUGACGUUUGUAAUGCAUAAAAUCUAACUGUAAUUGGGAGGUAGUACUUGAUUCAACAGAAAAAUAAAGCAAACUUUU